ensembl:misc_RNA Metazoa_SRP Metazoan signal recognition particle RNA
GCCGGGGGUGGUGGCGCACACCUGUAGUCCCAGCUACUUGGGAGGCUGAGGCAGGGGAAUUGCUUGAAUCCAGGAGGCGGAGGUUGCAGUGAGCUGAGAUCGUGCCACUGCACUCCAGCCUGGUGACAGAGCAAGACUCUGUCUCAA